AAAAAGGCGAUGACGGAGAGGAGUAACCACCGAGGGGCUGCACAGCGAGCCGGGGAGGGUGGGAGCCGGUUGGUCCUGGUGGUGAAGGGCGCUCUUGAGCUGCAAGAGGAACCCCUGAGAAGUGCUCAGUUCUCAGGGUAGUAAAGCUUGCUAUAGAAACGAGGGGGUGCUCUUUCUUGAGCACCAAACAGGGUGGAACCGCGGGAGAAAUCCCGUCCCUGUG
rnacentral:ncRNA from 1 species